ACUGGGCGUAAAGAGCUCGUAGGUGGUUUGUCGCGUUGUUCGUGAAAUCUCACGGCUUAACUGUGAGCGUGCGGGCGAUACGGGCAGACUUGAGUACUGCAGGGGAGACUGGAAUUCCUGGUGUAGCGGUGGAAUGCGCAGAUAUCAGGAGGAACACCGGUGGCGAAGGCGGGUCUCUGGGCAGUAACUGACGCUGAGGAGCGAAAGCGUGGGGAGCGAACAGGAUUAGAUACCCUGGUAGUCCACGCCGUAAACGGUGGGUACUANGUGUGGGUUUCCUUCCUUGGGAUCCGUGCCGUAGCUAACGCAUUAAGUACCCCGCCUGGGGAGUACGGCCGCAAGGCUAAAACUCAAAGAAAUUGACGGGGGCCCGCACAAGCGGCGGAGCAUGUGGAUUAAUUCGAUGCAACGCGAAGAACCUUACCUGGGUUUGACAUGCACAGGACGCCGGCAGAGAUGUCGGUUCCCUUGUGGCCUGUGUGCAGGUGGUGCAUGGCUGUCGUCAGCUCGUGUCGUGAGAUGUUGGGUUAAGUCCCGCAACGAGCGCAACCCUUGUCUCAUGUUGCCAGCGGGUAAUGCCGGGGACUCGUGAGAGACUGCCGGGGUCAACUCGGAGGAAGGUGGGGAUGACGUCAAGUCAUCAUGCCCCUUAUGUCCAGGGCUUCACACAUGCUACAAUGGCCGGUACAAAGGGCUGCGAUGCCGCGAGGUUAAGCGAAUCCUUUUAAAGCCGGUCUCAGUUCGGAUCGGGGUCUGCAACUCGACCCCGUGAAGUCGGAGUCGCUAGUAAUCGCAGAUC
rnacentral:rRNA from 1 species